CCCUUAGAUGUUCUGGGCUGCACGCGUGCUACACUGAUAUUGCCAAUAUGUCAUUCUUAUCCGAAAUGGAUUGGGUAAUCGAGUAAUGAAAUUUCAUGCUUGGAAUCGGUAAUUGCAAUUUUAUCGUGAACGAGGAAUUCCUAGUAAGCACUAGUCAUCAGCUAAUGUUGAUUAUGUCCCUGCCCUUUGUACACACCGCCCGUCGCUACUACUGAUUGGGUGUUCAAGUGAGAUGCUUAGACCCUUGUUGCAUGGUUCAUUAUUGUGCUCCGAAAGGAAAAAGUUUCAAGCUUGAGGGUCUAGAGGAAGUAAAAGUCGUAACA
rnacentral:rRNA from 1 species